GCCCUCGGGGUGUGCUAGACAUAUAGAAUGGUUAUUUCACAAAGCCUUCACAGAAUGACGUAUCAUUUGCUUGAAGAACAAAUUUUCUCUAAUAACGAAAGGAAACAACAAUAAAGGAAACCAAAAUUCUCACCAUUUAGAACCCUAAAAAUCACUUCCACCUUUGCCUGGCCGAAAUCCACCUCCGACCGACCGAUCGACGAGUUGCCUCUGUGAAGACCACCUUCGGCAGCCCGAUCGACGAAACCCAAUUUAGCAAAAUCCACAUUCGACAGCCUGUCUUGCUUCCCCUUUUCGUGGAAUCGGAACAUCGUAACCAUCUCUUCCCCAUUUUCAGUCUGUGGAGUAGUGUCCACCCAGUAUCUGAUAUCUUUUACCUUCAGAUGAGGGGGAGGAAUGUUGGUGUCUGUCACGGCUAUAGAAGUACGGACCACUUCUUCCUGAAUUGUCUGAUAAAACAACGAUGCUCAUGGUGUACACACGGACUGCAAAAAUGUUUUGAAGUUGAAAGGGAGACAAAGAACAAAUGGUGAUUAUUCAAAACAUGUAGUGUUAACUGUGGGUAUUUUGAUUGGUUCGUAAAUGAAAAAUCAAGCGGUGAAUCUAGCACGACUAAUGAAGCAGUGAAUCCCGAAGUCAUCCAGGAAGCUGAAGAUUUGCUGACCAUGUUCAACAAUCUAGCUAGAAAAGUGCCGAGGUGAAUGAGAAUGAAGAAGGGAAGGGCCGCGCUUCAUAGGUGAUAGGCAAAACUGAUAUUUUUCAAACAUGUUUUUGCUUGGUGUUUGCUAUCGAAAAACGUAUGUAAAUUAUGGUUUUGUAAUUAGAUGUUUGACUUAAUGUUCGGUAGAAAUAGUUCUUGUUGCCAUAUCAA